UUAUGUACAUAUCUACAAUGUUAAAGCACAUGAUCCCGUCAGAGCUCCAUAGUUAAGCACACUUAGGCUAUAGUAGUGCUGGGAUGGGUGACCUCUUGGAAAGUCCUAGUGUUUUACAUGCC
rnacentral:rRNA from 1 species